UGGGGAAUAUUGGACAAUGGGCGCAAGCCUGAUCCAGCCAUGCCGCGUGAGUGAUGAAGGCCCUAGGGUUGUAAAGCUCUUUCACCGGUGAAGAUAAUGACGGUAACCGGAGAAGAAGCCCCGGCUAACUUCGUGCCAGCAGCCGCGGUAAUACGAAGGGGGCUAGCGUUGUUCGGAUUUACUGGGCGUAGCGCACGUAGGCGGACUUUUAAGUCAGGGGUGAAAUCCCGGGGCUCAACCCCGGAACUGCCUUUGAUACUGGAAGUCUUGAGUAUGGUAGAGGUGAGUGGAAUUCCGAGUGUAGAGGUGAAAUUCGUAGAUAUUCGGAGGAACACCAGUGGCGAAGGCGGCUCACUGGACCAUUACUGACGCUGAGGUGCGAAAGCGUGGGGAGCAAACAGG
rnacentral:rRNA from 1 species